UACAGAGGGGCAAGCGUUGUUCGGAAUUACUGGGCGUAAAGGGCGCGUAGGCGCCUGCUAAGUCGAACGUGAAAUCCCCGUGGGCUCAACCCAGGAACUGCGUCCGAUACUGGUUGGCUUGAAUCCGGGAGAGGGACGUGGAAUUCCAGGUGUAGCGGUGAAAAUGCGUAGAUAUCUGGAGGAACACCGGUGGCGAAGGCG
rnacentral:rRNA from 1 species